UACGAAGGGGGCUAGCGUUGCUCGGAAUUACUGGGCGUAAAGCGCACGUAGGCGGCUCUUUAAGUCGGGGGUGAAAUCCUGGAGCUCAACUCCAGAACUGCCUUCGAUACUGAAGAGCUCGAGUCCGGGAGAGGUGAGUGGAACUGCGAGUGUAGAGGUGAAAUUCGUAGAUAUUCGCAAGAACACCAGUGGCGAAGGCGGCUCACUGGCCCGGUACUGACGCUAAGGCGCGAAAGCGUGGGGAGCGAACAGG
rnacentral:rRNA from 1 species